CGUUAGCGGCGGACGGGUGAGUAACACGUGGGUAACCUACCUAUAAGACUGGGAUAACUUCGGGAAACCGGAGCUAAUACCGGAUAAUAUUUCGAACCGCAUGGUUCGAUAGUGAAAGAUGGUUUUGCUAUCACUUAUAGAUGGGCCUGCGCCGUAUUAGCUAGUUGGUAAGGUAACGGCUUACCAAGGCGACGAUACGUAGCCGACCUGAGAGGGUGAUCGGCCACACUGGAACUGAGACACGGUCCAGACUCCUACGGGAGGCAGCAGCG
rnacentral:rRNA from 1 species